rnacentral:rRNA from 1 species
UACGUAGGUGGCAAGCGUUGUCCGGAAUUAUUGGGCGUAAAGGGCGCGUAGGCGGCUUGGGAAGUCUGUGGUGAAAGCUCGUGGCUCAACUGCGAGUCGGCCAUAGAUACUCCUAAGCUCGAGUCGACUAGAGGCAGAUGGAAUUCCGGGUGUAGCGGUGGAAUGCGUAGAGAUCCGGAAGAACACCGGUGGCGAAGGCGGUCUGCUGGGGUCGAACUGACGCUGAGGCGCGACAGCGUGGGGAGCAAACAGG